rnacentral:rRNA from 1 species
GACGAACGCUGGCGGCGUGCCUAAUACAUGCAAGUAGGACGCAGUUGCGAACGGGUGAGUAAGGCGUAGGCAACUGCAUAUUAAAGGGGGAUAACUAUUGGAAACGAUAGCUAAUACCGCCUACUAGUAGAUGGACCUGUUUUGUAUUAGCUAGUAGGUAGGGUAAUGGCCUACCUAGGCGACGAUACAUAACGGACCUGAGAGGGUGAUCGGCCACACUGGGACUGAGACACGGCCCAGACUCCUACGGGAGGCAGCAGUAGGGAAUCUUCGGCAAUGGGGGGAACCCUGACCGAGCAACGCCGCGUGAGUGAAGAAGGUUUUCGGAUCGUAAAGCUCUGUUGUUAAGGAAGCGGUACUUAACCAGAAAGGGACGGCUAACUACGUGCCAGCAGCCGCGGUAAUUC